rnacentral:rRNA from 1 species
UACGUAGGUGGCGAGCGUUGUCCGGAUUUACUGGGCGUAAAGAGCGCGCAGGCGGUCGUCCAAGUCGCGUGUGAAAGCCCCCGGCUCAACUGGGGAGGGUCACGCGAUGCUGAUCGACUCGAAGGCAGGAGAGGGUAGUGGAAUUCCCGGUGUAGUGGUGAAAUGCGUAGAUAUCGGGAGGAACACCAGUGGCGAAGGCGACUACCUGGCCUGUUCUUGACGCUGAGGCGCGAAAGCUAGGGGAGCAAACGGG